CAACAGCGUAUAUUUAAGUUGUUGCAGUUAAAAAGCUCGUAGUUGGAUUUCGGUUAAGAGCGACCGGUCCGCCGUUUGGUGUGCACUGGUUGGUUUUAACUUCCUGUAGAGGACGUGCUCUGGGUUUAACGACCUGGACUCGGAGUCUACGUGGUUACUUUGAAAAAAUUAGAGUGUUCAAAGCGGGCUUACGCUUGAAUAUUUCAGCAUGGAAUAACACUAUAGGACUCCUGUCCUAUUUCGUUGGUCUCGGGACGGGAGUAAUGAUUAAGAGGAACAGUUGGGGGCAUUCGUAUUUCAUUGUCAGAGGUGAAAUUCUUGGAUUUAUGAAAGACGAACUUCUGCGAAAGCAUUUGCCAAGGAUGUUUUCAUUAA
rnacentral:rRNA from 1 species